rnacentral:pre_miRNA from 1 species
UCUUAUGGAUGAACAAAGAAAGUGGUUUCCUGAGACAGAAUCUACUCCUGAUGAAGAUGCCGUGGA